UAUAGCUAUAUAUUUCUUACGAUAAAACGCAAACUCAAAUUUUUCAAAUUAAUAGAAGUUAAAAAUGCAUCGAUCAAAAGAACUUCCCUCCGGCAUUUCCAGCCGUGCUCUCUUCCUUUCCAUAUGUUUAUGCCUGCAUCUCGUCCUUCGUAGAAUUUCUUUUCUCAGCCAUCGGCAUCGGGUCUUCACUCACACUGCUGUCUUUUUCUUUGCAGCCCCUGCUAACGCCACAAUCCAAAGAUUUUGAUAUUUCUAUUUUUGUUUUAAUAUCGGGUCUUUCAUAUUUCUGCAACGAUCUUAUGUCGCGAUGACCCGAGUCCUCUCCAUGACGAACUUUAAUAAACAUCUCUUUGUCGCUGUUUGUGUCGUUCAUAGUUUAACCACCGCUCACUCCCCAUGCAUGCAUACA